rnacentral:rRNA from 1 species
CUACGGGCGGCAGCAGUGAGGAAUAUUGGACAAUGGAUGGCAAUCUGAUCCAGCCAUGCCGCGUGAAGGAAGAAUGUCCUAUGGAUUGUAAACUUCUUUUGUAUGGGAGCAAUAAGUUGUACGCGUACAAUGAUGAGAGUACCAUACGAAUAAGCAUCGGCUAACUCCGUGCCAGCAGCCGCGGUAAUACGGAGGAUGCGAGCGUUAUCCGGAUUUAUUGGGUUUAAAGGGUGCGUAGGCGGUUACUGUAAGUCAGCGGUGAAAUUUAGGGGCUUAACCCCUACCGUGCCGUUGAUACUGCAGAGCUGGAAUAGGGAUGCUGUUGGCGGAAUGUGUAGUGUAGCGGUGAAAUGCAUAGAUAUUACACAGAACACCGAUUGCGAAGGCAGCUGACAAAUCCCUUAUUGACGCUGAUGCACGAAAGUGUGGGGAUCGAACAGGAUUAAUACCCUAGUAGUC